UGAGGAAUAUUGGUCAAUGGACGCAAGUCUGAACCAGCCAUGCCGCGUGAAGGAUGAAGGCCUUCUGGGUUGUAAACUUCUUUUAUCUGGGAAGAAAAUUACGGUUUCUACUGUAACCGACGGUACCAGAGGAAUAAGCACCGGCUAACUCCGUGC
rnacentral:rRNA from 1 species